UGGGGAAUAUUGGACAAUGGGCGCAAGCCUGAUCCAGCGACGCCGCGUGUGUGAAGAAGGCCUGCGGGUUGUAAAGCACUUUCGAUGGGAACGAAAUGUGCCGGGUUAAUACCCCGGUAAGCUGACGUUACUCAAUGAAGAAGCACCGGCUAACUCUGUGCCAGCAGCCGCGGUAAUACAGAGGGUGCGAGCGUUAAUCGGAAUUACUGGGCGUAAAGCGCACGUAGGUGGCGACGUAAGUCGGGUGUGAAAGCCCCGGGCUCAGCCUGGGAAUUGCAUUCGAGACUGCAUUGCUGGAGUACGGAAGAGGAGGGCGGAAUUCCCGGUGUAGCGGUGAAAUGCGUAGAUAUCGGGAGGAACAUCAGUGGCGAAGGCGGCCCUCUGGUCCAGUACUGACACUCAAGUGCGAAAGCGUGGGGAGCGAACAGGAUUAGAUACCCCAGUAGUCCCUGAGCGGGCUGGCAAGGCGCAU
rnacentral:rRNA from 1 species